AACGAACGCUGGCGGCAGGCCUAACACAUGCAAGUCGAGCGAGGUAGCAAUACCUAGCGGCGGACGGGUUAGUAACGCGUGGGAACGUGCCCAAAGGUACGGAAUAGCCUCGGGAAACUGAGAGUAAUACCGUAUGUGCCCUUCGGGGGAAAGGAUUUAUCGCCUUUGGAUCGGCCCGCGUUGGAUUAGGUAGUUGGUGGGGUAAGUGGCCUACCAAGCCGACGAUCCAUAGCUGGUUUGAGAGGAUGAUCAGCAACACUGGGACUGAGACACGGCCCACGACUCCUACGGGAGGCAGCAGUGGGGAAUCUUAGACAAUGGGGGAAACCCGUACGAUCUAGCCAUGCCGCGUGAGCGAUGAAGGCCUUAGGGUUGUAAAGCUCUUUCAGCUGGGAAGAUAAUGACGGUACCAGCAGAAGAAGCCCCGGCUAACUCCGUGCCAGCAGCCGCGGUAAAGUGCGCUUCU
rnacentral:rRNA from 1 species